CGGGUGAGUAACGCGUGGGUAACCUGCCUCAUACAGGGGGAUAACAGUUAGAAAUGGCUGCUAAUACCGCAUAAGACCACAGUACUGCAUGGUACAGUGGUAAAAACUCCGGUGGUAUGAGAUGGACCCGCGUCUGAUUAGGUAGCUGGUGAGGUAACGGCCCACCAAGCCGACGAUCAGUAGCCGACCUGAGAGGGUGACCGGCCACAUUGGGACUGAGACACGGCCCAG
rnacentral:rRNA from 1 species